rnacentral:rRNA from 1 species
AUUGAACGCUGGCGGCAGGUCUAACACAUGCAAGUCGAGCGAGCGGCGGACGGGUGAGUAAUGUAUGGGGACUGCCCGAUAGAGGGGGAUAACUACUGGAAACGGUCGCUAAUACCGCAUACUAUCGGAUAACCCAUAUGGGAUUAGCUAGUAGGUGAGGUAAUGGCUAGCCUAGGCGACGAUCCCUAGCUGGUCUGAGAGGAUGAACAGCCAGCGAGUGAAUGAGACAGAGCCCAGAAUCGUUCGGAGGGAGCAGUGGGGAAUAGUGCACAUUGGGCGCGGUCCUGAGGCAGCCAUGCCGCGUGUAGGAAGAGGGCCCUAGGGUUGUAAAGUACUUUUAGGCGGGAGGCGUUUCUGACAGAAGAAGCACCGGCUAGCUCCGUGCCAGCAGCCGCGGUAAUAC